rnacentral:lncRNA from 1 species
UUGACCCUGUGCCUUCUGUGCCACAAUGCUGCUGUGCCAGCUGCUGCUUCUGGGAGAAAACCUAGUUCCUAGUUCUCUCCAGUGUGAGCUGGUUUGGCUAUUUGAAAGCUACUCUUUUCAACUAACCCUUCUUUGUCAGUUCAGAAACCAGUCCUGCUUUCCAGCAGCUGGGCUGGGCAGGGUUUUUCCAGGCUUGCUGACUGCAGCAGCUGUUUCCUGCCCCCAGUAAGAGCCCGGGGGACACACUCACCCACUCAGAGCCACCCUUGGCGGGAGACUUGGGGGACAACUCCCCGCAGGGCCGAGUUGAACAGCUCCAAUGAAAUAAUGCCAGAUGUGAAUGCUUUUUAAUCGAUGGGCUCUGAUCAUCACGAUACCAAAAUUCUGCACAUCUUUUGCAAAGCAAGGCUUGGCUCUCUGAAGCUUUCAUUUCUUCAUUUUCCCAAGAAAGAAUGUUAACCACUCCACUUCCUAGUUCCUCCACACCUGUCACUUGGGAACCAGACGAGAAGUUCUAAGAAGCCCUCAGAUCCUGCAGCCUGACUCUGGCUUGGAAAACCUCUGUCCAGAUCAGAGUGCCAAGGGGAGUGACCCAUCUUGGAUCCUGGACCUCAUCCACUUAGUUGGGAAAUCUUUCUGAUAAAUUCAGAGACCACACAAAGUCCUGAGGGCCUUCCUGUCGAUUUGAAUCCGCUCAAACUCCCAGGAGAUGAAAACAACUUCACUAGAUUGAGGGGACGUAGGAAUCACCUGGGGAUCUUGUUAAAAUGAGGAUUCUGAUUCAGAAGGUCUGGGGAGGGGCCUGAGAUUCUCCCAGGUGAGGCCAGUGCUGCUGGUCCAAGGACCACAUUUGCAGCAUCAAGGGGUUAUAGAACCACCUUCUGUCACUGCUCAUGGAUUUCCUACUCUGCUUUCUGGGGAUCUUGCCUGUUUUCACACCUUAUCCUUCUUUUCCUCUCUCCAUCCAUCCUUUUCUUGGCCAACUCAUUAUUCUGACCAGGCACCCCUACCAACUCCCAACCCUCCUCCAUUCAAGGAGAAAGAAACUCCUGCCCUUUUUUCCUCAGACUUUCAUCCCCUCCCCUCUUCCCUCAGCAGUGCCAGAAAAAUGAAAGUCAUCAUUUAUUGACAGUUGUGUGCCAAGCACUGUCCCAAAUGUGUUACCCAUAAUAUUUAAUUCUCGCAACAAUCCUACAAAGUAUAUAUUAUUAUUGUCAUUUUAGAAAUGAGAAAAUUGAAACUUAGGUAGUUAAAGAAACUCUGUCCUCAACUAGGGAGUAAUGAGUUGAGAUUAGAAUUUGAAUCUGUCUAACGUCAAAGUCUACAGGCUUUACACUACCUUAUGCUCAUGCAAGGUGAAAUAGUCUAGAAGUCAGCUGGUGGGAAUGCAUUGAGAAAAAAGGAUCACUCCAAGGAUCACUCCACUUAUUCAGCCUGUACAGUCCUCUGAACCCCUCUUAAGCAGAUAUUCUAUGGGACAGCCCGACAUAUGGAUAAUAAGAGCUAUUUUAGGAAUGCCCAGGUUAGCUGGAAUGGGACAGGAUUCCAAAUAGCAGAGUAGUAAUAUUAAAACCCAAACUUGCCAAUAUGCCCAAAUUUUCAAUGUAGCUCUUUAAUUAGACCCAUAACUGUACCAAUAGAGCCUAUUACCAAAAAAGAGAUUCCUAUGAUUAGCUAAUCACCCAACCACAUGGAGUCUAAAGGAUGGUGCCAAGUCUGCUAUCAGUCCGCAUAGGGUCCUCUUUGGAUGGGUAGCCAAUUCCCUUCUCUCUCUAGUCUCUCUUCCUUGACUCCACCUCUAACAUCCCCUUGGUCUCUGCCUGUUCUCAAGAUCUGACCUAAGUGUCCUGGCUUCCAACCUGGGAGCCUAUACCUGAUCUUAAAACCUUUGUGUCUUUCAGCUUCCUCAAACUACAGCAUCUACAAGACAAACGAAUCUUGCUUAUGUUGGCUAUCUCCCUCUCCUGACUUUUAUUGGGUGUACAAAAAAAAAAUCUCCCUUUAAUUCCUCCCAAAGAUCCUACAAGGUAUGAGGAGAGGAGAAAAGGCAAGGGGUAGGAAUGAGGAAAAUUCCAUCUUGAUGCAAAAAUUUAAAAGGUCUAUAUUCAUUCAAUGGAGAAGAGUCAGAAUUUUAAAAUAUAACAUAGACAAGGAAAUUAAGAGCAGUGUGCUGUGGGGAAAGGAGCCCUGGCCCAAGAGUCGUGAGAUUUGGGUUCUCAAUCCAUCUUUUCCACUAACUGGCUGUGCAACCUUGGAUAAACUGUAUCAUUUUUCUUGACAUCAGUUUCUCCAUCUUUAAAGUGAGAGGGUUGUAUUGAAUGAUUACUAAGAUUCCUUUGAUCUCUGCUUUUCAGCGUCUUCCCUAGCACCUAAAAUAAAAUGAACCUGGCAGUUUUUGUGAAAUAAUGUUGCAUCUAACCAGAAAUUUAGACACAAACUUGCUUGAGUCAAUGCAUGAAAACAAGAAGAUAAAGAAACAGUGAUUAAUAAUGAUAAAUGAAUAAUAAUGAUAAAAAUAAAAGACCAAAAACUUAAAAAAAGACAAAAAUGGCUGAUUCUAUAGUUUUUCUUUUUUUUUUUUUUUUUUUUUUUUUUUUUUUUUUUUUUUUUUUUUUUA